rnacentral:rRNA from 1 species
AGGGCAAGUCUGGUGCCAGCAGCCGCGGUAAUUCCAGCUCCAAUAGCGUAUAUUAAACUUGUUGCAGUUAAAAAGCUCGUAGUUGAAUUUCUGCUGUAUCGUUAUCUUCUGCUUGACAGUUUGAUUUCGUUAUGGCUUAGUUGGGUCACUUUGUGUCCCGGCGUUUACUUUGAGAAAAUUAGAGUGCUUCAAGCAGGCUUUUGCCUUGAAUACUUUAGCAUGGAAUAAUGGAGUAGGACUUUGGUUCUAUUUUGUUGGUUUUAGGAGCCAGAGUAAUGGUUAAUAGGAACAGUUGGGGGCAUUCGUAUUUGACUGUCAGAGGUGAAAUUCUUAGA